AUACCAGACUCCUACGGGAGGCAGCAGUGAGGAAUAUUGGUCAAUGGCCGGAAGGCUGAACCAGCCAAGCCGCGUGAGGGAGGAAGGCGCAGAGCGUCGCAGACCUCUUUUGCCGGGGGACAAAAGGCCGGACUCGUCCGGUCCUGAGGGUACCCGGAGAAAAAGCAUCGGCUAACUCCGUGCCAGCAGCCGCGGUAAUACGGAGGAUGCGAGCGUUAUCCGGAUUUAUUGGGUUUAAAGGGUGCGUAGGCGGGAUGCCAAGUCAGCGAUAAAAAUGCGGUGCUCAACGCCGUCGAGCCGUUGAAACUGGCGUUCUUGAGUGGGCGAGAAGUAUGCGGAAUGCGUGGUGUAGCGGUGAAAUGCAUAGAUAUCACGCAGAACUCCGAUUGCGAAGGCAGCAUACCGGCGCCCUACUGACGCUGAGGCACGAAAGCGUGGGUAUCGAACAGGAUUAGAUACCCGGGUA
rnacentral:rRNA from 1 species